CUGGGAUUUCAGGCAUGUGCCACCCUGCCCAGCUAUUGUCUAUUUUUCUUCCUCUUUAGAACAUGAACUCCAGGAGGGCAGAGAUUUAGUAGGCUUUGUUCACUGCAGUGGCACCCUACACAUAUUUGUUCAAUGAGUGCAGGCUCAUUAUCCGUGCCGUUUCGUGUGGCUGUAGCUAGCUGUGUGUGGCACUUGUCUAGUGAGACCGGAAGACUGAAUUUUAAACUUUAACAAACACAGCCCCUGUGGAGAGUGAGUACAGUGCCGUCCACGAGUGAACUCUCCAACUCCUAAAGUCCACUUUGCCCACGGGGGUGGAGAGUUGCUCAAGGCUGAAGCGGACAGUGACUGGCUCUGGUGGGUCAGCCUGCCCUGGGGGGCUGGCAUGCUGCGCUCUCUGCUUCUCUCUGGGCGGGCAAACACGGGAUGCACAUCCUGCAUGGAAGCAUUUGUGUUUUAUGCAACCAAGCAGAGCUGCAGUGUGCUCGCCAGUCCCUUCAAAACGUGCUGCUUGUGAGAGCUCAGCCCCUGGCCAAGGGUGUCUCCAGCUGCUGACCGGCCCUGCCUGGAAAGUCAACUUGGAAGGGACGCAAAUGUCCUAAUCCUCUUCCAAACCACUCUAAGUAGGUUUAUCCAGUGACCUGUAAAACCAAAUUAGUAAAGGGACACUUUAAUUCCAGCUCAUUAGAGAGCUUCUAAAAUCUUUGAGAAAGCCAACACAGCAAAUUCUGUGCAGGGGAGCCAAGAAACCCAUCCCAUUUCCAAAAGUGAAAUGUCCUUGCUUUUAUCCCCCUGAGCUCUCUUACCCACGUGAUUCAGCACACAGAAGACCCUUUCUGCGGCUGUUGUAAGGAUCCCAGGGAAGGUAGGAAGCAAGCUCUCAAGAGGAGAAAGCUACGGUGGCCCAGUGAAGUCAAUAAAGGGCCUGAAAUAGAAAGAAUCGUUACAAAAACUCAUGGAGACAGCGGGGAUUUAGCUCAGUGGCACUGUGCCCACCUGAGUUCAACUCCUGGUACCAGGGGAAAAUGUCUUCAUGGAGAAGGACCAAUACACACCUGCUUCUGUGCCUCAUUGGUAACUGAAUCCUCCCAGGGAAGUGACCAGGAGGGGCCAAAGAUGACUCUGUCCUCUCUCAGCACCCUACAGCCUCUGCCCCACUUAUAGUCUCUAGGGCUGUGUCUUCCUCCUGCACCAGCUGCUGGGCAAAAGCAGGACAAGACUGUCACAGACCGUGUGCCACUGAGUGACAACCAAGGAUGUUCCUGUUGUUACAUCGCGGGCUGCUCCCGCUGCCCACCCCCCAGUUUUGAUGCUGUCCCGUGUGUGCUGACAAUCACCUGCCUGUGACUCCUCGUUCUCCAGCCUGCCCUCAUGGAGUGACGCUGUGGGUGCUCCCCAGAGCUGGGUGCAGAGCGGAGGAGGAAGCUGUCCCCAGGUGUGGGGUUGGCAUCUGGAGAGAAGAGCCAAAGCCAGGCUUGACACACUCCCUCCCGCCUGGCCUGGCCUGGCCACCGACACCUGCUUUGACUUUCUGGCCUGUAACAUAGGCUUUUUUCAGAAACUGUUUUCCUUUUUCCCUUCAACCUUGAAAUAUAUUUGAUUCGCUUAUUUUUUAGGUAUAUAAACUAGUUAC
ensembl:lincRNA